UAUAAGCUCUUUAUAUUGGAGAAUAGCACAUGCAUCCAGUGCACUUGUGUAGGUCAGUAUAUAUCAAAGCUCUGCUUCAUCAUGUAGAUUAUCUCCUGGCUCAAAUCUGAAAAAUAUGACUGAGGCAUUAAGAUAUUAUAAACAUUAACAUCAUAGUUUUCUUUAAAGCUGCUUUGAAACAAUUGCUAUUGAAAAAAAAAGUGCUAUAUAAAUAAAUCUGACUUCACUCAAAUUGACUGAUAUUUUAUCACAUACUAUUUUAUCUGAGAUAAUCGUGUAUCUAUUCAGGAUUUCAUGGUAAAGUGGUUAGUUCAUGCUAAAGUCAGACUGUGAGUUUCAUAAGAAAUGGAAAUGGAAAAAGGCAUUUAACCACACGCUAAUGACGCCUUUGGCAGUGUCUGUGUUAAAUGUCAACCGCAAACAUUCAGCAAAAACAUUCAAGCACAACUGUUUGUCCACCAGAAGAUCAGCACAGAUGUCAGAAAUCAGAUGCAAAAUGUUUCUUGAUUUUUUUUUUUUUUUUUAAGAAAAA